CAGCAGUCGGGAAUAUUGCGCAAUGGAGGAAACUCUGACGCAGUGACGCCGCGUAUAGGAAGAAGGUUUUCGGAUUGUAAACUAUUGUCGUGAGGGAAGAAAUUGACAGUACCUCAGGAGGAAGCUCCGGCUAACUAUGUGCCAGCAGCCGCGGUAAUACAUAGGGAGCAAGCGUUAUCCGGAUUUAUUGGGUGUAAAGGGUGCGUAGACGGGAAAUUAAGUUAGUUGUGAAAUCCCUCGGCUUAACUGAGGAACUGCAACUAAAACUGGUUUUCUUGAGUACUGGAGAGGAAAGUGGAAUUCCUAGUGUAGCGGUGAAAUGCGUAGAUAUUAGGAGGAACACCAGUGGCGAAGGCGACUUUCUGGACAGUAACUGACGUUGAGGCACGAAAGUGUGGGGAGCAAACAGGAUUAGA
rnacentral:rRNA from 1 species